AGGCCAGCCUCUGCAGCGUGGAGCAGCCAGGGGAGCCUGGAGCCUCACUCCCAGCCGGCUGGGAAGCCUCCGGAGGGCUCUGUCCCUUUUGCACUUCCACAGUCUUUCCAUUUUAGGUAGUUGCUGAAGCACAGAAGACUCCCCCGGGUAGUCGGGAGUCCUCCCUACCACGCCCCAGCCCCCCGCUGUGCACAAGUCCCGCUCCUGUGGUUCACUUGUCACCACUGAGAAACCGACAGGGACACCGUCUCCUUAACCAGAGUCUGUGCCCCUGGGCAGCUGCGGGAGCUGGCCGGGUGCUGGCAGAGUGCCCCGGUGAUGGGUUUCCCAGCUGGGGUGAUGGGCUUGGGAGGAAGACCACAGAGGCAAAGGCCAAGGGUCCCUGCCACUAGCAAGGCUGGUCACCGUGGAUGUCCACUGACUGUCCUGUCUCUUUCCUCUAGAAGGAGAUCACUGGGCACAGCCUGAUCUGGGAAUUCAGCUCUGCCUGGUUGUCAGGGGAGAGGGUCUCCAUGAAUUAUCUGGGGUUCUUCUGUAUGGAAGUCAGUGUGUCCUCACCCACUCACUCAGUCUUCCGUGGGUAUCAGUGUGGACUCAGGACACUGACUUUCUACUCGGGGUUAAAUUCUAAUACUCUAUUUGAUCCAUUCUCCUUGCUUUUAGGAGCCCUUUCAUCCUCUUCUGCGUCUCUGUAUCAUCCAUUUUCUGUCACUAUAAUAAAAUACCUGAAGCCAGGCUCUUAUAAAGAAAAGAGGUUUAUUUAGCUCUCACAGUCUCACAGGUGUCAGGGCGUGUGCCGCAUCUGUUCAGCAGGGGAAGGCCUCAUGGUGGGUGGCACCCGGUGGCAGGAGCCAGUGUGAAAGAGAUCACAGGGUGAGACAGGAAGUCUGAUGCACCCGGGAAGGGCCCGGCCUGCUCUUCUGUAACUUCUGGAACCAAGUCACUCGGGUCCCGGGCAGUGCCCCCAGGACCUAAUCCCCUUCCACCAGGCCCCUGUCUUAAAGUCCCACCACCUCUCGUGCUGCCAUUUUGAGGACCAAGCUUCCAAGAAACCACACCCAAGCCGUGGCAGGCCCUGGAACAUGCCCCGUCCUCCUGCUCCCUACCCUCUGCCCUGCAGACGCUGGACGACAGACGUCCUGCCCAGUUCCAGGCUCCGUCUCCUCUCCAAGGAGCCCUGCUUCCCUUGACCCGAGGCGAGAGUGAUUUAGAAACAAUCACUGGGCUGGUUCCGGGUUCUUAAGCGCCAGGGUGGCCUUGUCUGGCCACUUUGAAAAUUGUCCUUCUGGCUGCUGUGGACAAAGUGUAUUGGUGGGUGGCCCGAGAGGAGUACCAGUUAGGAGGAUACGGUGACCUGGCGACUUCACAAGCAGCUGGAGUGGGUCGGGGGAUUGCUGCUGUGCCCACUCUCCUCGGCCCUCCCUGCCUCUACUGGGGACCUUCCGACGCGUUCCCUAACCCCCCCCCAUGCAGCUCAGUGGCUCUCACCUUUGACCUCUGCUUGGGUCCUGGGGAACAGAGCCUGGGUGGGGCUCCUCUCCCCUCCCCUAAUCCACACAGAGCCUGGCACCUGCCCCACCCCAGGAAAUGCUCCCUGAGCUGAAUCCGCUGUUGGGGGGACAGAGAAGCUGUCGGCGGGCGGUGGAUGGAGCCCCAUGGACAGGGCCCGGGAGGCGGGGCGCCUCGGUAAAC
rnacentral:lncRNA from 1 species